rnacentral:rRNA from 1 species
GAUGAACGCUGGCGGCGUGCCUAAUACAUGCAAGUCGAGCGAAUGGAUUAAGAGCUUGCUCUUAUGAAGUUAGCGGCGGACGGGUGAGUAACACGUGGGUAACCUGCCCAUAAGACUGGGAUAACUCCGGGAAACCGGGGCUAAUACCGGAUAACAUUUUGAACCGCAUGGUUCGAAAUUGAAAGGCGGCUUCGGCUGUCACUUAUGGAUGGACCCGCGUCGCAUUAGCUAGUUGGUGAGGUAACGGCUCACCAAGGCAACGAUGCGUGGCCGACCUAGGAUGGUGAUCGGCCACACUGGGACGACGACACGGCACAGACUCCUACGGGAGGCAGCAGUAGGGAAUCUUCCGGAAGGGACGAAAGUCUGACGGAGCAACGCCGCGUGAGUGAUGAAGGCUUUCGGGUCGUAAAACUCUGUUGUUAGGGAAGAACAAGUGCUAGUUGAAUAAGCUGGCACCUUGACGGUACCUAACCAGAAAGCCACGGCUAACUACGUGCCAGCCGCCGCGGUAA